UGCGGUUAAAAAGCUCGUAGUUGGAUCUCGGCAGGUAGGGGGCGGUUCGUUUCUGACGGCACUGCCCCAUUUACCUGUGUUUUUGACGGAGGUCUCAAGGUGGCUUUAAUCGGCUGUCUUGGUACGCCGUCAGGUUUACUUUGAAAAAAUUAGAGUGCUCAAAGCAGGCUACAAAGCUUGAAUAUUUGUGCAUGGAAUAAUGGAAUAGGAAGUCGUUUCUAUUUUUUUGGUUUUCGGAAAUUGACUUAAUGAUUAAUAGGGACAGCCGGGGGCAUUAGUACUCAGACGACAGAGGUGAAAUUCUUGGACCGUUUGAGGACUAACUACUGCGUAAGCAUUUGCCAAGAGUGUUUUCAUUAAUCAAGAAUGAAAGUUAGAGGUUCGAAGGCGAUCAGAUACCGCCCUAGUUCUAACCAUAAACGAUGCUGACUAGCGAUCCGUAGCUGUUUUCUAUGUAUAGCUCUACGGGAAGCUUCCGGGAAACCAAAGUUUUUGAGUUCCGGGGGAAGUAUGGUUGCCAAGCUGAAACUUAAAGGAAUUGACCGAAGGGCACCACC
rnacentral:rRNA from 1 species